rnacentral:tRNA from 1 species
UGGUAAUUAGUUUAAUAAAAAUAAAUGAUUUCGACUCAUUAGAUUAUGCAACUACAUAAUUACCAA